UUGAAGAGUUUGAUCAUGGCUCAGAUUGAACGCUGGCGGCAGGCCUAACACAUGCAAGUCGAGCGGUAACAGGAAGUAGCUUGCUACUUUGCUGACGAGCGGCGGACGGGUGAGUAAUGCUUGGGAACAUGCCUUGAGGUGGGGGACAACAGUUGGAAACGACUGCUAAUACCGCAUAAUGUCUACGGACCAAAGGGGGCUUCGGCUCUCGCCUUUAGAUUGGCCCAAGUGGGAUUAGCUAGUUGGUGAGGUAAUGGCUCACCAAGGCGACGAUCCCUAGCUGGUUUGAGAGGAUGAUCAGCCACACUGGGACUGAGACACGGCCCAGGCUCCCAUGGGAGACAGCAGUGAGGAAUCUUGGACAAUGCACGAAAGUGUGAUCCAGCUAUAUCGCGUGGACGAAGAAGGGUAUUUUGCUUGUAAAGUCCUUUCAGCAAUAAACAUGUUUUUACAUGGAGCCAUAAUGACAGCUCUUGCAGAAGAAGCCCCGGCUAAUUUCUGUGCCAGCAGCCGCGGUAAUACAGAGGGGGCAAGUGUUAUUCGGAAUAAUUGGGCGUAAAUGGCGUGUAGGUUGUACUUCGCUGUUAUCGGUUAAAUCCCCAUCGAUAUGGUGGGUAAGGCUGAUAGAACGGUUGUACUAGAGAGUGAGAGAGGAUACGGGAAUUUCGAGUGGAGAAGUUAAAUUCUUAGAUAUUCGAAGGAAGGCCAACUGCGAAGGCACAUAUCUGGCUCAUUUCUGACACUGAGGCGCGAAGGCGUGGGGAGCGAAGCCGAUUAGAUACCGGCGUAGUCCACGCAGUCAACGAUGC
rnacentral:rRNA from 13 species